rnacentral:tRNA from 1 species
GGGUUGUGGCUUAAUGGUAGAGUGCUUGCCUCAUGUACAUGAGGUACUGGGUUCAAUACUCAGAAGCACA